rnacentral:lncRNA from 1 species
GUCAUUUUAGCAGGGGCCUCAGGAAAACUGGAAUAGUGAAGAAACGGUGUGUGGUUACAGACUUUUGUAUGAGGUUUUGAAAGUUAGGUAGGCGACUCUAGGCCGAGGAGCUCAGAAAACUGUUUGCCCCCAAUAUAUGGUCUCAACAAAUAUCGUCAGUUAGGAAAUUAAGAACAUAUGAUAUGUUACAUUUAAAACGGCGUUUACGCAAGAAAAUUACAUUAAGUUAAAUUGAACCGUCAUGAAUGAUCAAUGCUUGCACAAUUUCGUAUAGGUAUACUGCCAUUGAGAAUUGAAACAGGGCGAUACGUUGGAGAAGAAACAGAAAAUAGACUGUGUACAUUGUCACAUGAUUGUGUAAUAUGAACUUAGUAGAAAAUGAGGUUCAUUUUUUAGUUGACUGUGUUUUUUACGAAGAAUUUAGGGAUCAGUGGUCAGACAUACAGUUCGUCCAAAAGAACAGUAAUGAUAAGCUUAGAACAUAAGUGAUGUCAUAUCGUCGAAAGGUUGCUAGGUAUCUGGCGAAGGCCUAUUCCAAAAGACAAAGUGCACUUUUUAAACGGUGAAGCUUGCGAUACUAUUGAUACUAUAUAAUUGUAAUAUGCAUCAUUUCAGACAAUAAGAAUUAUUUAUGUGUGGUAAAAUUUUUACAUAUAAUAAAUUUAAAACUGUUUUAAUCAUCAAAAUAUCCACAUAUUUGCUCUGAGUUAAUAUCAUAUCUUAUUUCAUAUUAUUCCCAAUUUUUAGAUCAUGUUAUAAAUGUGUAACAAGUUAACAGGUGACAUAUAGGCCCAUUGGGCCAGGUGUUGUGAAUGUUGAUCAUUUAUUGUAAUAUGUAUGUACUGUAUAUAACACAUGUCACGUUAAUAAACAAUUUACUUACUUA